GUGAAUCAUCGAAUUUUUGAACGCAAAUUGCACUCUCUUCGGAGAGUAUGCCUGUUUGAGGGUCAGUAUUAAUAAAAAUCGGUGUGUUGCUUCUUUGUGACGCUCCGGAGUUUGGGUCACCUUAAUAUCCUUUAGGUUUUAAGAGGCUUAAAAUUGACUUUUUUUGCGCAUUUUAGAUGUACAUAAAUUCUUUUUUUUAUUGUUUGGUUUUAUUGUCAAAAAUCUUAUUAGUUGCGA
rnacentral:misc_RNA from 1 species